rnacentral:rRNA from 1 species
CCUACGGGUGGCAGCAGUGGGGAAUAUUGGACAAUGGGCGAAAGCCUGAUCCAGCCAUGCCGCGUGUGUGAAGAAGGCCUUCGGGUUGUAAAGCACUUUCAGUGGGGAAGAAAGCCUUGGGGCUAAUACCCUCGAGGAAGGACAUCACCCACAGAAGAAGCACCGGCUAACUCCGUGCCAGCAGCCGCGGUAAUACGGAGGGUGCGAGCGUUAAUCGGAAUUACUGGGCGUAAAGCGCGCGUAGGCGGUCUGAUAAGCCAGUUGUGAAAGCCCCGGGCUCAACCUGGGAACGGCAUCCGGAACUGUCAGGCUAGAGUGCAGGAGAGGAAGGUAGAAUUCCCGGUGGAGCGGUGAAAUGCGUAGCGAUCGGGAGGAAUACCAGUGGCGAAGGCGGCCUUCUGGACUGACACUGACGCUGAGGUGCGAAAGCGUGGGUAGCAAACAGGAUUAGAUACCCCAGUAGUC